rnacentral:rRNA from 1 species
CAGCAGCCACGGUAAAACCGAGGGUGCAAGCGUUAAUCGGAAUUACUGGGCGUAAAGCGCGCGUAGGUGGUUUGUUAAGUUGGAUGUGAAAUCCCCGGGCUCAACCUGGGAACUGCAUCCAAAACUGGCAAGCUAGAGUAUGGUAGAGGGUGGUGGAAUUUCCUGUGUAGCGGUGAAAUGCGUAGAUAUAGGAAGGAACACCAGUGGCGAAGGCGACCACCUGGACUGAUACUGACACUGAGGUGCGAAAGCGUGGGGAGCAAACAGGAUUAGAUACCCCCGUAGUCCCUGUCUCUUAUAC